CGGACGGGUGAGUAACGCGUGGGGAACCUGCCCUGUACAGGGGGAUAACACUUAGAAAUAGGUGCUAAUACCGCAUAAGCGCACAGUGUCGCAUGAUACAGUGUGAAAAACUCCGGUGGUACAGGAUGGACCCGCGUCUGAUUAGCUGGUUGGCGGGGUAACGGCCCACCAAGGCGACGAUCAGUAGCCGGCCUGAGAGGGUGAACGGCCACAUUGGGACUGAGACACGGCCCAGACUCCUACGGGAGGCAGCAG
rnacentral:rRNA from 1 species